rnacentral:rRNA from 1 species
UACAGAGGUCCCAAGCGUUGUUCGGAUUUACUGGGCGUAAAGGGUGUGUAGGCGGUCGUGCAAGUCUGGUGUGAAAUCUUCACCACUCAACGGGAAGAGGUCACUGGAAACUGCAUGACUUGAGUUUGGUAGAGGCUAGCGGAAUUCCUGGUGUAGCGGUGGAAUGUGUAGAUAUCAGGAAGAACACCUGUGGCGAAGGCGGCUAGCUGGGCCAAUACUGACGCUGAGACACGAAAGCGUGGGGAGCAAACGGG